GCGGCGGUGGUGAAAUUGGUAGACACGCUAGCUUGAGGGGCUAGUGUCCGCAAGGACGUGCUGGUUCAAGUCCAGUUCGCCGCA
rnacentral:tRNA from 1 species